UCGGGAAUUUUGGGCAAUGGGCGAAAGCCUGACCCAGCAACGCCGCGUGAGGGAUGAAGUAUUUCGGUAUGUAAACCUCGAAAGAAUGGGAAGAAUAAAUGACGGUACUAUUUAUAAGCUCCGGCUAACUACGUGCCAGCAGCCGCGGUAAUACGUAGGGAGCAAGCGCUGUUCGGCUUUACUGGGCGUAAAGGGCGCGUAGGCGGCGCGGUAAGUCACUUGUGAAAUCUCUGAGCUUAACUCAGAACGGCCAAGUGAUACUGCUGUGCUAGAGUGCGGAAGAGGCAACCGGAAUUCUUGGUGUAGCUGUGAAAUGCGUAGAUAUCAAGAGGAACACCUGAGGCGAAGGCGGGUUGCUGGGCCGACACUGACGCUGAUGCGCGAAAGCCAGGGGAGCAAACG
rnacentral:rRNA from 1 species